rnacentral:rRNA from 1 species
CGGCUCAUCACAUCCUGGGGCUGUAGCCGGUCCCAAGGGUAUGGCUGUUCGCCAUUUAAAGUGGUACGUGAGCUGGGUUUAAAACGUCGUGAGACAGUUUGGUCCCUAUCUGCCGUGGGCGUUGGAAAUUUGAAGGGGGCUGCUCCUAGUACGAGAGGACCGGAGUGGACGUUCCUCUGGUGUACCGGUUAUCACGCCAGUGGUAUUGCCGGGUAGCUAAGAACGGAAGAGAUAAGCGCUGAAAGCAUCUAAGCGCGAAACUUGCCUCAAGAUGAGACUUCCCGGGGGUUUAACCCCCCUAAAGGUUCGUCGAAGACUACGACGUUGAUAGGUCGGGUGUGGAAGCGCAGUAAUGCGUUAAGCUAACCGAUACUAAUUGACCGUGCGGCUUGAUCCUAUAAUUUUGAGCGUU